AAGGAUAGCACUUCCAGCCAUGCAGCACCGCAUUUUCAUGUCAGCCUAGACACGGAGCUCAAAAUCGCAACAUGGGGACUUAAACACACAACCUGCUGGACUCAGAAGAAAACAGACUAACACAUGGCACAAUUCAGUUGUACGGAGAAGGGAUUAUUACCUCCAGAAAAGCGAUCCGCCAAUCGACUAACAAUUGGGUUCCUACAUACUGCAAGGUAAAGAGUGCACAGUGGAGAGCCCAUGAUCAUAUAUUCAACAACCUGGAAAUGAAUGCCCACUGGAACCAUUCACUGGAGAGGAGUGGGCAAUCUGUGGCUCAUGGGCUGGAAGUGGCCCAAGUAGCUGUCAAGAAGUGGUCCCCUGAACAUUUGCACGAGUGUAGCUCAUCAAAGCAAGAAAGUAAAUUAUCCAAGAGGCUUAUGCCAUACUAAAGAGUCUGGGAAUUAAUUGCUGAUCAACAUAAAGCAGCACAUCUCACAUGAAACAUGAAGUCGAGGAUAUUGGAAGGAAGAGGAUGAUUUUGACGAGAAAUUAACCCCAUCUAAGCUCACUCGGACAGGUAGAGUGUAUAUCCACUGAAGAUGUGCUUGGAAAUCUAUGAAGGAGAGGGAGGAUUUCACAAGAUCCGAGGGAGAAAAGGGGAAUCAGUGGUUCAAAAAGGAAAAAAAAACAUUAAUCCUAACAAAAUGGGUCAAGAAAGCCUUUGAAAAUGGUUCAUGCGGAGGUGGUGACAAGAGACACAAGAGGUGGAGACAGUUAUGGAUUGUGUUAUUUAUGUGCAGAAGGUAAUUCUGUUGUUUGAUUCUUUUUACAACAGUGAUGUAUUUUUCUUUCAAAUGUGAAAUAUUUCUUACCUGAGUGACUCACAGCAAACUUUUGAAGCUUUUCACACCCAGAGCACAAAGCCGUUCUUUUCAAAGUCUUUUCAUUUAUGAUUGGGCUGGAGAAGGACUGUACAUAUAUGGCCAAUGAGCUGGGCCAAUAGAAAAAUGUGGUCCAUAUAUUUUCUGCAGAAUCCACUAUAAACGCCCUUCUCUGCUACAAACCUGUACAAACAGUGUGCUAGGCCCCAGUCUUCUGCGCAAUGUUUGCUCAACAAUGCUACUGUAUUUCAUCCACUAAAUAUACAGUGAAUUCACUAGUAUGUUCUGUGAAGCGCUUUGAGACAUCUCUAAAAUGUGAUUAGGUGCUAUAUCAAAUGCAAGGAUUAUUAUUAUAUAGCAUCUACAGUUCAUGUAAUAGUUUCAUCUUUGAUAUCAUAUUCACAGGCUCUGCUUUGUACUAUAUUACAAAUAUUUCACAUUGUACUUUAAAUGUUAGUUUUAAUAAAAUCCUUGGAGAGCCUGGAAUGCCCAAGCAAUCCAUGAAUAAACUCAGCCUUCAGGUUUAGCUUUUUGCUUUAAACUGUCUGUUUGCUCUAACAAUGGAACAAGAAUCAAAAAGCUCUGCAUGUAUUUGAGGAUACAACAAAAAAAAAUUCUUAGUAGCAAAAAUAAUUGGACCACAGGCUUUGGAGGUCAAGGGAAAGAAAUAGCUGAUCUUUAAAGAAAGAGAUGCAGGCUUUUUUUAAUCUAAAACAACAAUGAGUUACAGUGUAGAAUACAAUUUUAGAAUAUUUCCUUACUGAAGAGAAUUUUUUUAUUUUUAAAAAGAACAUUGGACCAAGGUUAAGCACUGAUUAUUGUUCAGAAUUUGUGAAGAUGGUUGUAAAAGGAAAUCGGGAUAAAGGAGAACACAGUCAUAAAAGAAACAAAAAUGAAACUAUUAAGAAAGAUUCCAAAUACCACCAAAAUACGAUAAUGUAUUUAUUUACGCAAAAAGUGAAAAGGGUUUCUUUCCAAUAGAUGAGUCUAACUCAGUGGGAUGGCAAACAUGAGGACGAAAGGGGAGAUUCUGCUUCAUGUGGCUAAUUUGUUGAUGUGGGCUAAACACUCUUGUGCUCUGUUUGGUACAUUUAAUGAAUUUGACUGUGUGUGAAAGUUCAUAAAUAUAACAUAUUUACAUAGGAUACAUAUCAAACUCAACAUUGUUAGUUUCUCCAAGAUGCUACCCUGGGUGAAGGGCACUAUAUAAAAUAUGAGUUGUUGAUGGUGUAUUUAUGUAAAAUUAAAUUACCCUUUUCA